CCCCGAGGAUCCCCCCGUUUUGUGUUCUCACAAGAUGGACGGAAUAGAUACUUUUCAUUGACGUCACGCCGACCACGUGGUUUUGUUUGCAACGCCAUUUGGGGAAGGCACGAUCGUGUCUACAUGUCAUGGCUAGGAAGCGAUAAGUGGAUACUGUAAUGUUUUAGCUAUGGUUAUCGUUUGAUCUUUUGUCUUGAAAGUCCUUUGACAAACGAACACUGUAACCAGAGGCGAUUGGGGCACUCGUGCUGGAGUGAGGAAUAAAGAAAGAAGCCACGCGUGAACCUCGAGAGCAAGUCCCACAACUGGAUGCUGCCGUUGCCGUGACCGGUGAACAGAUAGCGGCGAGGUCGCGAGCCCAUCCGGCUGGACCCCUCGCACUCCCGCACCAUGAAGCAAGAGAUGGUGGUGCCGUCCACCGACUGCACUUCGCAGAUUCUACGGCGCAAAAAGCUCGCGGGGUCAAAAGUCGAGGGAACGGAACGAGAACAAGUGGACGAGAGCCUCACAAACACCUUGUUGGUGAUGGGGACCACCUUCUGGAUGAACACCUGCUGAUCGUCUCGCUCUCCGAACGGACCUGACGGCGCGGCACGACACGUCAACCCCACGUGUUAGCUGCCGUGGCUCUCCGUUUCCUCCAAGGAGAGUAUUUUGAAGGACGCUAAGGGCGUGGAGCCCGGCUGGGUGGAAAUCAUCCCUCGGAAGCGCGUCACCGUCCACGUGCGGACGUGGUUGUUGUCGGCGCACACUGACGACGCCACGAGAGAGUUAACGAGAGACGAGGUGUUUCUCGGACAACAUGAUCUUGGUCACGGGGCUCCUGUGCACCGUGAACGUCUGGAAGAGUUGAGGGCCCGAACCGACCGUCUCCGGGUGCUGCACGAUGACUCUCACUGCGCCGCUGCUGGUCCCGUAGGCGAUCUCGAUCCAGUUCCCGCUCACACCUGACAGAACUGGUGAUGGGGACAACAUCUUGAACCUAGCAGCGGAGAUUUCACAAUCGUUAGAAUGGAGUAGAUUUGAUGUACUUAGAGGGGAAAUCCACUGGUUUGGAAGAACAAUAUCUCACUCAGGGAUGAUGAGCACGGCAGUACUUGUCCACCCAGGACACGUAACGGGAGCUGAAGAGUACACAAAGACCACGACACGGCAUACCUGCCAGUGCUGCGUUACAGCGUUCCACACUCCGACCUUCCCGGUGUGGCUGGUGGCUACCAGCUGGUUUCCGAUGAAGAAGAGAUCGUCCACCGGCACGCCGAGGCUGAACACGCCUGGAGAGGACAAACAGGACAGGAUGAUGCUGCUCUCGGAGGCGGCGGCCACCAUCUUGUCCUUGUCCCCGUGCGGGCCGCCCACCACCUUGGCGUUCAGCGCGAUGCGUUCGAUGGUCCAGUCGAGGCAUGGAGAGGAGAACACUUGUUGCCAUCCGAAUUACCUGUAGCAGAUGACAAAGUGUGCGUACGCCGCCACAAUCCAGUUGUGGUGUCCCGCUAUGAUCAGCACUUUGCGAGGGUCCGGACCUGAACAGGAAACAGCCCACGUGAAGUCAAAUGGCCUCACGCACUAAC